GAUGAACGCUGGCGGCGUGCCUAAUACAUGCAAGUCGAGCGAACGGACGAUAAUCUUUCUUCUCUGAUGUUAUCGUCUGACGGGUUAGUAACACUUGUAUAACCUACCUAUAAUUCUUUUAUAACUUCUUGAAACCGUAGCUAAUACCGUAUGAUAUUUUGAACCGCAUUUUUCAAAAGUGUAAUUCGGUCUUUCUGUCACUUAUAUAUUUAUCCUCGCUGCAUUAUCUAGUUGGUAAGGUAACGUCUUACCAAGUCAACGAUUCAUAGCCGACCUGAGAGGGUGAUCGGCCACACGGGAAGGGAGACAGGGACAAGACUACUACGGGAGGCAGCAGUAGGGAAUAUUCCGCAAUGGGGGAAAGGAUGACGGAGCAAAGCCGAGUGAGUGGUGAAGGUCUUCGGAUCGUAAAACACUGUUAUUAGGGAAGAAAAUAUGUGUAAGUAAAAGUGCACAGCUUGACGGUACCUAAUCAGAAAGCAACGGCUAACUACGUG
rnacentral:rRNA from 1 species